rnacentral:misc_RNA from 1 species
GAGGAGCACGAGUGCGGGGUGGAUCGAGGCGAGGAGCACGACCGUCACGACGAGGCGGAGGACCCAACCGGCAGUCGUGAACAGCGACAUGUACAUGUGGUCCAGGACGA